rnacentral:tRNA from 1 species
GUACGGAAGUGGUUGCCCACGAACACCGCCUGUCGCUCCUGAAAAGCGUGGGGUCGGCGGUUCGAGCCCGCCCCUGACCA